rnacentral:rRNA from 1 species
CCAGACUCCUACGGGAGGCAGCAGUGAGGAAUAUUGGUCAAUGGCCGAGAGGCUGAACCAGCCAAGUCGCGUGAGGGAUGACGGCCCUACGGGUUGUAAACCUCUUUUGCCGGGGAGCAAAGAGCGGGACGCGUCCCGCCUCGAGAGUACCCGGAGAAAAAGCAUCGGCUAACUCCGUGCCAGCAGCCGCGGUAAUACGGAGGAUGCGAGCGUUAUCCGGAUUUAUUGGGUUUAAAGGGUGCGCAGGCGGGGGCGCAAGUCAGGGGUAAAAUUUGGGGGCCCACCCCCGGCAAGCCGUUGAAACUGGCUUGCUAGAGUGGGCGAGAAGUAUGCGGAAUGCGUGGUGUAGCGGUGAAA